rnacentral:rRNA from 1 species
GUGCCAGCAGCCGCGGUAAUACCGGCAGCCCGAGUGAUGGCCGAUCUUAUUGUGCCUAAAGCGUCCGUAGCUGGCUGCGCAAGUCCGUCGGGAAAUCCGCACGCUCAACGUGCGGGCGUCCGGUGGAAACUGCCUGGCUUGGGACCGGAAGACUCGACGGGUACGUUCGGGGUAGGAGUGAAAUCCCGUAAUCCUGAACGGACCACCGAUGGCGAAAGCACGUCGAGAAGACGGAUCCGACGGUGAGGGACGAAAGCUAGGGUCUCGAACCGGAUUAGAUACCCGUGUAGUCC